AUAAUGUAACAGUUACUUAAAUAAAUCUAUUGACUUUUUCAUUUAUAGUGUUUAAUGCUAUUAAUAAUGUUUGAUGAGGUGAAUUUAUUUUAUUAAAAUAGGAGUGUAGUGUAAAAAAAUAAAUGCUAUUCAUAGUGUAUCAGCUUUAACAGAGGAGUUAAUAGGGCUCACUAUUGUUAUGUGGAUUAUGUAACAAAGUUUAAUCACACUAUUUAGAGUUUUGAUGGAUGUACAGAGCCAUUUCAACAGAAGUUCUUUAAAUCCCUCACAUGAGAUGAGUACCGCUCAUUUAAAAAUUACCCCAAAAAUCCACACUCGAUCCAUAUUUGUGUGUGUACUGUAGGAGUUCUGUAAAAUCCCUACCCGGUACCCAAGCAUGACUCCACUAUUUAUAGGUCAAAAUCAUUGUCACAACAAGUCACGAUCACAUACCACCUGACUUUUUAAAAGUUUUUAUAAGUUUGUUAAUUUUAAAAUUGUAUUCUUAAAUUAUAGAAGUUAUGAAAUUUAUUUUUUCUUAUGUGGUUUUGAAAUUGUUUGGGCCUUGUUGAUCCCAUCUGAGUCUUCCUUGUGGAACCAACAACAAUGUCUCUCCCUUCAGCUUCUGGGCCUCAAAGCCUUUUGCACUGUAUUUUCUUUACAUUUCGGGCUUUGAAGUUCAUGAUAGAUCAGGCCUUAUACCCUCCUUGAGUGGUACUUUGCUAUCGGGAAAGAAAAUCAUAAAUACCUAUGAAAUAAAAAAAAGAUUUCACAUUAUACUAAAAUACUUAUUUAUAUACUUAUUAUACUGUAUAACCCUCAAAAUAAUACCCAAUUUACAGACUUUGAGACUUUUCCAUUUUUGAAUUGUAACUGAAAUUGAAAUGCAUGAUUUACGUUACAAUUAAAUUAAUUCAAAUUAUAAAUGAUUUUCGAUUGUACAAGAAUGUCAAAAAGGAAAUUACGUGCAAUCUUUUUCCGAUUGAUUAAUUUAAAUCUGAUUUUCAUUCCUAGCUACUGAAUAUUUAACCUUUGCUUGUGCAGCCCAUUUGUGCCUCGAAUCUAACUCGAGCAAAUUUUAUUUAUUGAAAUCAAGGAAAACAUUAUUUAACAUGUGAAUUAUUAAUAAUUCUUUUUUGUGAAAUAUCAUGCAACUCGUAAAAUAGUUUGAAAUUUAACCACUUACUUUUGCAAUUCCACCAAUAUUUUUAACUACAUUUUAUGUGAUAUAUGGAUUUACAUUAACUGAAUUAUAUGAUAUGUGAGAUGGGUUUGUGAACUUGAUAAUAAUCGUGAAAUGAUGUUAGUGGAUUCAUUAAUUAUGAGAAAUGAUGUUGCUCUUUUUUCCUUUUUUCGUUUUUUGGUAUUUCGUUAUUUCGAGGAUUGCGUCUUUGAAUUUGACCCAUUGAUGAACUACAUAUUUGUGAGUGAUCACCAUUUGUUUAUCCCCAAUUUGUUAUACCUUUUCUGUUUUUUGUGUGCUUGUAGAUAUGGAUUCCAGUAAUGUGAUCAUAACUUGCGAUACGAAGAUUGGACUCCUCGUGCCUAGUGGUUGUAAAUCUGCAAAACUUUGUGAGAUGAUAUCUGUUGAGAUAAAAAUUGAUAACACGAUGGUUCUAUGAAAUAGAGUAUGAUAUCGAUGAUAACAUGGCCCGUUGAGGAUCACAAAUCACAGUUUGCUAAUUUUUUGUUCGGAGCUGAAGAGGAAGGAACCCCGUUGAUUUAUGCAUCACUUCAUUGCUGAAUUUUUUAAAUAACAUUUGAAUCAUGUUUUUCUCUUGGUAAAAUUGAUGCUUCAUCCAUGUAUCCAAUUUUUCAUCAAUAAGAAAUUGGGUGUCUAUGAUUCCUAUAUGGUUUUGAGAUAAAGCCCAUCAGCAUCCAAUGUUUCUUUCCCAACUCAAUUGUAUAAUAUUUUUUUGGCUAAAAAACUAAUGUUCUCGUGGAGCCAAUGUUGUACUUAUAUGCUAUUAUAACGUCAAAAUGCGUCCAAAUAACGGGAAUUCCAUUGAUGACCCGUAUAACCCGUAUAACGAAGUAGAUAUACACAUAUUAUAUUGUGUAACGAUGUACUUAUCUGUAAUCAUCUUCUGAAAUAUCAGUAGCAAUUUUCACAUCAAGAGGCUUAAUACGCUCUACCCAAUAGAUGAUGAUGGGUGACCAAGCAUUUAUCUUAACAAUGAGACAUGGCAGAAUAUAAGUAAAUGCUCUCACCACAUCUAUAACAAUCAUGUCUCUCACUAUUAGUCCGCCAUAUUAUUAUUGCAGAAAAAUGAUUUAUGAACGAGAAUAUGGAAUUAAGGAACCUUGGUAUAUGGAAAAGACUGAUCCAUGAGAUCCCUUUGAAUAUUUUGGUUUCCAAUCUCGUGUAGAUAGAAG
rnacentral:lncRNA from 1 species